rnacentral:lncRNA from 1 species
UGUGUUGCAUGCACGUGUGCACAUGUGUGCAAGUUCUUGUGCACAUGUGCUACUACAUGUAGCAUGCUAUGCAUGUAUACUACAUGUGCAGCACAUGUACCACACAUGCGCAAGUUCUUGUGUACAUGUGCUGCAUACAUACAUGUGCUGCAUUCUUGUGCAUAUGCUCCAUACAUACUACUACAAAUGCACAUGUAUGCAUUUGUAGUAGUAUGUAUGGAGCAUACCACUACAGAUACAUGCCUUGAUCUGUUUCAGAAUGGCAUCAGAAUGGCGUGUGGUCGUUUCAAAACGGUCGGAAUGUGU